GAUUAAGCAAUGACAAGGAAAGUAAAACGUAGGUACUUCCCCAAGAGAGAUCCCAUUUUGGUGAAAGGGAUUGUUAGUACUACCUUUGAAAAUGGCCUUCGAGCAUGAAGCUGCGAUAUUUAGUGGCUUCAGGGUCCGCCCUUUAUCGCGGUAGUGUAUCGCUUUUUGCCGUACAUGAACCAAGGUGGAAGACUCCAUAAAGAUUAGGUGGUACCGCGUUAAAGACGCCCUAUUA
rnacentral:ncRNA from 1 species